AUGAUUGUGCCUGAAAAAGGAUUAUUGUGAUAUGAUAAAUCAUGUAAAUUUAAGCUUUACCUUCAUU
rnacentral:tRNA from 1 species